CAGCAGCCGCGGUAAUACAGAGGGUGCGAGCGUUAAUCGGAUUUACUGGGCGUAAAGCGUGCGUAGGCGGCUUCUUAAGUCGGAUGUGAAAUCCCUGAGCUUAACUUAGGAAUUGCAUUCGAUACUGGGAAGCUAGAGUAUGGGAGAGGAUGGUAGAAUUCCAGGUGUAGCGGUAAAAUGCGUAGAGAUCUGGAGGAAUACCGAUGGCGAAGGCAGCCAUCUGGCCUAAUACUGACGCUGAGGUACGAAAGCAUGGGGAGCAAACAGGAUUAGAUACCCCCGUAGUCCCUGUCUCUUAUAC
rnacentral:rRNA from 1 species